UACGGGGGGGGCAAGCGUUGUUCGGAAUUACUGGGCGUAAAGCGCGCGUAGGCGGACCUGCAAGUCGGGGGUGAAAGCCCGAGGCUCAACCUCGGAACUGCCUUCGAUACUGCGGGUCUCGAGUCCGGGAGAGGGUGAGUGGAAUUCCUAGUGUAGAGGUGAAAUUCGUAGAUAUUAGGAAGAACACCAGUGGCGAAGGCGGCUCACUGGCCCGGUACUGACGCUGAGGCGCGAAAGCGUGGGGAGCAAACAGGG
rnacentral:rRNA from 1 species